rnacentral:rRNA from 1 species
AUUGAACGCUGGCGGCAGGCCUAACACAUGCAAGUCGAACGGUAACAGGAAGAAGCUUGCUUCUUUGCUGACGAGUGGCGGACGGGUGAGUAAUGUCUGGGAAACUGCCUGAUGGAGGGGGAUAACUACUGGAAACGGUAGCUAAUACCGCAUAACGUCGCAAGACCAAAGAGGGGGACCUUCGGGCCUCUUGCCAUCGGAUGUGCCCAGAUGGGAUUAGCUAGUAGGUGGGGUAACGGCUCACCUAGGCGACGAUCCCUAGCUGGUCUGAGAGGAUGACCAGCCACACUGGAACUGAGACACGGUCCAGACUCCUACGGGAGGCAGCAGUGGGGAAUAUUGCACAAUGGGCGCAAGCCUGAUGCAGCCAUGCCGCGUGUAUGAAGAAGGCCUUCGGGUUGUAAAGUACUUUCAGCGGGGAGGAAGGGAGUAAAGUUAAUACCUUUGCUCAUUGACGUUACCCGCAGAAGAAGCACCGGCUAACUCCGUGCCAGCAGCCGCGGUAAUACUGAGGGUGCAAGCGUUAAUCGGAAUUACUGGGCGUAAAGCGCACGCAGGCGGUUUGUUAAGUCAGAUGUGAAAUCCCCGGGCUCAACCUGGGAACUGCAUCUGAUACUGGCAAGCUUGAGUCUCGUAGAGGGGGGUAGAAUUCCAGGUGUAGCGGUGAAAUGCGUAGAGAUCUGGAGGAAUACCGGUGGCGAAGGCGGCCCCCUGGACGAAGACUGACGCUCAGGUGCGAAAGCGUGGGGAGCAAACAGGAUUAGAUACCCUGGUAGUCCACGCCGUAAACGAUGUCGACUUGGAGGUUGUGCCCUUGAGGCGUGGCUUCCGGAGCUAACGCGUUAAGUCGACCGCCUGGGGAGUACGGCCGCAAGGUUAAAACUCAAAUGAAUUGACGGGGGCCCGCACAAGCGGUGGAGCAUGUGGUUUAAUUCGAUGCAACGCGAAGAACCUUACCUGGUCUUGACAUCCACGGAAGUUUUCAGAGAUGAGAAUGUGCCUUCGGGAACCGUGAGACAGGUGCUGCAUGGCUGUCGUCAGCUCGUGUUGUGAAAUGUUGGGUUAAGUCCCGCAACGAGCACAACCCUUAUCCUUUGUUGCCAGCGGUCCGGCCGGGAACUCAAAGGAGACUGUUAGUGAUAAACUGGAGGAAGGUGGGGAUGACGUCAAGUCAUCAUGGCCCUUACGACCAGGGCUACACACGUGCUACAAUGGCGCAUACAAAGAGAAGCGACCUCGCGAGAGCAAGCGGACCUCAUAAAGUGCGUCGUAGUCCGGAUUGGAGUCUGCAACUCGACUCCAUGAAGUCGGAAUCGCUAGUAAUCGUGGAUCAGAAUGCCACGGUGAAUACGUUCCCGGGCCU